CUGGAAAAAGCUAUCAUUCAUACAGAAGAAUUGUUUGUAUCCAGUUGUCUCCUACAUCUGACAUAUCAAACUCUACAGGAGAACAAUGUCUGGAGUAAAAGGACAACAGAAGAAAUGCCCAGAGCCUUGCCCACCACCCCAGCAGGACUGCCAGGAUCAGUGCGAGCCAGUGCAGGUGUGCCCUGAACCGAAAUGUCCUCCUCAAGUGGUGCAAUGUAGUCCAGCCCCACAAUGUCAGAACCAACAGGACAAGCAAUACGUGAAGAAGUGAAGAUCUGAAUAUCUCAAGACAAGUAUAACAAGCUUUCUGAAUGUAUUUAGAAGAAACCUCUACAUUAUAUUCCAAAGAUAUAUGAUGACAGUUACCCAAUAUUAAAGUCUUUUAAAACAAAGA